rnacentral:rRNA from 1 species
AGUGAACGCUGGCGGCAGGCCUAACACAUGCAAGUCGAACGAGUGGCGGACGGGUGAGGAAUACAUCGGAACCUACUCUGUCGUGGGGGAUAACGAAGGGAAACUUACGCUAAUACCGCAUACGAUUGAAUGACCCGAUGUCGGAUUAGUUAGUUGGUGGGGUAAAGGCACACCAAGGCGACGAACCGUAGCUGGUCUGAGAGGGUGAUCAGCGACACGGGAACGGAGACACGGUCCAGGCUCCGACGGGAGGCAGCAGUGGGGAAUAUUGGACAAUGGGCGCAAGCCUGAUCCAGCCAUACCGCGUGGGUGAAGAAGGCCUUCGGGUUGUAAAGCCCUUUUGUUGGGAGAGCGGUACCCAAAGAAUAAGCACCGGCUAACUUCGUGCCAGCAGCCGCGGUAAUUC